rnacentral:rRNA from 1 species
GAAACAGUUGCUACGUCUGGAUAGGAAAUAAAAAGGCAUCUUUUUAUUUUUAAAAGACCUUUUUCGGAAGGUAUGCUUAAAGAGGGGCUUGCGUCACAUUAGUUAGUUGGCAGGGUAAAGGCCUACCAAGACUAUGAUGUGUAGCUGGACUGAGAGGUUGAACAGCCACAUUGGGACUGAGACACGGCCCAAACUCCUACGGGAGGCAGCAGUAGGGAAUUUUCGGCAAUGGAGGAAACUCUGACCGAGCAACGCCGCGUGAACGAUGAAGUAUUUCGGUAUGUAAAGUUCUUUUAUUGAAGAAGAAAAAAUAGUGGAAAAACUAUCUUGACGAUAUUCAAUGAAUAAGCCCCGGCAAACUAUGUGCCAGCAGCCGCGGUAAUACAUAGGGGGCGAGCGUUAUCCGGAAUUAUUGGGCGUAAAGGGUGCGUAGGCGGUUUAAUAAGUCUAUAGUUUAAUUUCAGUGCUUAACACUGUCCUGCUAUAGAAACUAUUAGACUAGAGUGAGAUAGAGGCAAGUGGAAUUCCAUGUGUAGCGGUAAAAUGCGUAAAUAUAUGGAGGAACACCAGAGGCGUAGGCGGCUUGCUGGUCUUUACUGACGCUGAGGCACGAAAGCGUGGGGAGCAAACAGGAUUAGAUACCCUGGUAGUCCACGCCGUAAACGAUGAGUACUAAGUGUCGGGAUUACUCGGUACUGAAGUUAACACAUUAAGUACUCCGCCUGAGUAGUACGUACGCAAGUAUGAAACUUAAAGGAAUUGACGGGACUCCGCACAAGCGGUGGAUCAUGUUGUUUAAUUCGAAGAUACACGAAAAACCUUACCAGGUCUUGACAUACUCUGCAAAGCUAUAGCAAUAUAGUGGAGGUUAUCAGGGAUACAGGUGGUGCAUGSUUGUCGUCAGCUCGUGUCGUGAGAUGUUAGGUUAAGUCCUAAAACGAGCGCAACCCUUGUCAUUAGUUGCCAGCAUGUCAUGAUGGGCACUUUAAUGAGACUGCCAAUGAAAAAUUGGAGGAAGGUGAGGAUCACGUCAAAUCAUCAUGCCCCUUAUGAUCUGGGCUACAAACGUGAUACAAUGGCUGUUACAAAGAGUAGCUGAAACGCAAGUUUAUAGCCAAUCUCAUAAAAGCAGUCUCAGUUCGGAUUGAAGUCUGCAACUCGACUUCAUGAAGUUGGAAUCGCUAGUAAUCGCGAAUCAGCAUGUCGCGGUGAAUACGUUCUCGGGGUUUGUACACACCGCCCGUCA